rnacentral:rRNA from 1 species
GGAAUUGUUCGCAAUGGGCGAAAGCCUGACGACGCAACGCCGCGUGGAGGAUGAAGAUCUUCGGGUCGUAAACUCCUGUCGAGUGGGAAGAAUUGCUUCCGGGUGAAUAUCCCGGGAGUUUGACGGUACCACUAAAGGAAGCCCCGGCUAACUCCGUGCCAGCAGCCGCGGUAAUACGGGGGGGGCAAGCGUUGUUCGGAAUUACUGGGCGUAAAGGGCUCGUAGGCGGCCAACUAAGUCAGACGUGAAGUCCCCAGGCUCAACCUGGGAACUGCGUCUGAUACUGGAUGGCUUGAAUUCGGGAGAGGGAUGCAGAAUUCCAGGUGUAGCGGUGAAAUGCGUAGAUAUCUGGAGGAAUACCGGUGGCGAAGGCGGCAUCCUGGACCGACAUUGACGCUGAGGAGCGAAAGCUAGGGGAGCAAAC